rnacentral:rRNA from 1 species
GAUCCUGGCUCAGAUUGAACGCUGGCGGCAGGCUUAACACAUGCAAGUCGAACGGUAACAUAAAGAAGCUUGCUUCUUUGAUGACGAGUGGCGGACGGGUGAGUAAUGCUUGGGAAUCUAGCUUAUGGAGGGGGGAUAACUACGGGAAACUGUAGCUAAUACCGCGUAGUAUCGGAAGAUGAAAGUGUGGGACCUUCGGGCCACAUGCCAUAGGAUGAGCCCAAGUGGGAUUAGGUAGUUGGUG